rnacentral:lncRNA from 1 species
GUGGGACUAAUUCUCACCAAUGGAAUGUGUGUGGAAAUAAUGCGUCUCCUUCAGGCUGAGGCAGUUAAGAGACAAGGACUAUUGGGGGCCAUCUCUGAGGCUGGCUAUCACAGAGACCAUAAGAUAUUCAGCAACGUGAUAGACUCAGUUUGCCUGUGUAAUUUAUAGAGGACAUGAAGACAAAUUUCAGGUUGCUGUUUUGUUGUAUAAUUCCCUGAAAUUAUCUUGUUUAUUGGGUCUUUCCUGCCUUACUAGAAUAUCAGCUUCCUGAGAGUGUAAAGCUCAUGUCUGUUCUGCUGUCUGCUGUUUCCCUGGUGCCUGACACAGUGACUGCCACAUAAGAAGAGCCCCUAAAAUAGUGAAAUAAAUGAAGAAUCACAUAAGUGAAAUCCUCUUGGUACCUGAGUAUGGACAAAGCUGGAAAACAGUGAUGGAGUUUUCCAUAGCAGCAUCCUAAGAAGACACCCUUGAGCGGUUGAGAACGCAUUUUGAGGACAUCAGCAAACACAGCCUAAGAGGGGCUUAAAUGGUGAUAUCACCUGGGCUUGCUUUCUCAGACUGCCAGCUCCAUGACAGCAAGAACCUUGUAUGACUUUUUCAUGAUGGAUGUUCAUCUGUGCCAUCUGUAAAUAUUUAAUAAAUAUUUGUGGAAUACAUGAAUCCAAAAGUGAAUGGAAUGAUAAAGAGGGAAAGGAUCAUGACAUCUACUACAGCAUUUGGCACAGACCCAGGUUUCCCUGGUACUGGUAAUUCCCAGCAGCUUUCUACAAUUCCAAAGUUGUCUGCAGUACUAUCAAGAGAUGACAUGGACUUCAAGGAUCAAACAGGGGAGAAAAAGGCUUAAAAGAAAAACAAGUCUCCAUCAAAGGCACAAGAAACCAAAUCUUUACUGAGUGUGGUGGAAGAAUGCCCAGGUGAGCACAGGCACAGUGCCAGGUGCUGCAGAGGACCUGAGACAAACAGUCACUGCGCCCUGAGAGAGUUUAGAAUCCAGCACUGAGGAGAAGAGAAGUCAUGGGGAGCACAGUCCUCCUGACAUCUUAAUCUAUCUGCCAAUGCUACAUGCCAUCAAGCCAAGGAAGAAUUUCCUUCUCACUGUUGCUUCUCUGACCAAGGAAGACAUAAGCACAACCAAUCACCAGACUGAUGAAAUUCCUUCCAGUUUCAGAAAAGAUUAUCACCAAUC